GAUGAACGCUGGCGGCGUGCCUAAUACAUGCAAGUCGAGCGAACAGACGAGGAGCUUGCUCCUCUGACGUUAGCGGCGGACGGGUGAGUAACACGUGGAUAACCUACCUAUAAGACUGGGAUAACUUCGGGACACCGGAGCUAAUACCGGAUAAUAUAUUGAACCGCAUGGUUCAAUAGUGAAAGACGGUUUUGCUGUCACUUAUAGAUGGAUCCGCGCCGCAUUAGCUAGUUGGUAAGGUAACGGCUUACCAAGGCAACGAUGCGUAGCCGACCUGAGAGGGUGAUCGGCCACACGGGAAAUGAGACACGGUCCAGACUCGUAAGGGAGGCAGCAGUAGGGAAUCGUACGCAAUGGGAGAAAGGCUGACGGAGCAAAGGCGCGUGAGAGAAGAAGGUCGUGGGAUAGGAAGACUCUGUGGUUAGAGAAGAACAAAUGUGUAAGUAACGAGGCACGGCUUGACGGUACCUAAUCAGAAAGCAACGGCUAACUACGUG
rnacentral:rRNA from 1 species